rnacentral:rRNA from 1 species
GACGAACGCUGGCGGCGUGCUUAACACAUGCAAGUCGAACGGGCUCUGUCUGGCUGUGUGCUGGGUGGGGUUAGUGGCGAACGGGUGAGUAAUACGUGAGUAACCUGCCCUCUUCUUUGGGAUAAGCCUUGGAAACGGGGUCUAAUACUGGAUAUUCCUGUCUGGUCGCAUGGCUGGGUGGGGAAAGUUUUUUUCGGUGGGGGAUGGGCUCGCGGCCUAUCAGCUUGUUGGUGGGGUGAUGGCCUACCAAGGCGUCGACGGGUAGCCGGCCUGAGAGGGUGGACGGCCACACUGGGACUGAGAUACGGCACAGACUCGUACGGGAGGCAGCAGUGGGGGAUAUUAGACAAUGGGCGCAAGCCUGAUGCAGCGACGCCGCGUGGGGGAUGACGGCUUUCGGGUUGUAAACCUCUUUCGUCGGGGGACAAGGCUCUGCUUGGUGGUGGGGUUGAGGGUACCCGGUGAAGAAGCGCCGGCUAACUACGUG